rnacentral:rRNA from 1 species
AUGCCCACCACCACAACAGAUGCACGCGUAGGGUCCACCGCCAUAUCAGGGAGGAUGUCGCGGUUUGCUUACCCUCCUCUAUUUGCCUUUGGUUUCCCAGGUGCACCCCUGCCAUGGAUGUUUGCUGGUGGGUACCCUUACCCUCCUCCAAUGUUUCAAGGGAAUCAGUGGGAUGGAAAUCAGGGACAUGGAUUUGAUCGAAAACAUAAAGUAAAGCAAGGAGGCGAUCAGGAGUAUCAGAGGAAGUUACAGAAUCAGGGUGCAAGUCAGCAGAGAGAGAAACAAAAAAAGAAUCUAGAGAAGAAUAGUGUGGGCAGUAAUUCUAGAGGGGCUGAUCAAAAUCACCCAAAAGACUUCACUGACUAUCCAUAG